UACGUAGGGUGCGAGCGUUGUUCGGAAUUAUUGGGCGUAAAGAGCUUGUAGGCGGUUUGUCGCGUCUGCUGUGAAAUUCCAGGGCUUAACCCUGGGCUUGCAGUGGGUACGGGCAGACUAGAGUGUGGUAGGGGAGACUGGAAUUCCUGGUGUAGCGGUGAAAUGCGCAGAUAUCAGGAGGAACACCGAUGGCGAAGGCAGGUCUCUGGGCCGCAACUGACGCUGAGGAGCGAAAGCAUGGGGAGCGAACAGG
rnacentral:rRNA from 1 species